rnacentral:lncRNA from 1 species
CACACGUCUGUGCCAGCAACAACACUCUCCCUUAAGCAAAAAGAGCUCUGGCCCCUCUGGAGCUAGUGAGUGAGGCUGGUACAGCAUGAGAAAUGCCAGGCUGGAGGAUUCCAAAGCCAGAGCUAAGGUUGCUGGGAGAAAUAGCAACACUGUCAGAUAUACAGACAAAACCACUCUGAUGGCAGAAAAUGAAGAAUGAAAAAGCCUCUUGACGAGAGUGAAAGAGGAGAGUGUCAAAGAUGGUUUCAAGCUUAAUAUUUAAAAAAAAAACAUUAAGAUGAAGGCAACUGGUCCCAUCACUUCUUGGCAGAGAGGGAGAAGAAAUGGAAGCAGUGUCAGAUGCUAUAUUCUCAGGCUCAGAGAUACCAGCAGAUAGCAACUGCAGUCAUGAAAUUAGACACUUGCUCUUUGGAAAUGGCCACUCUGGACAGCACACUAACAAGCAGAGAUAGCACCUUGCUGACAAAGCUUAUUUGGCAGAUG